ensembl:ncRNA asRNA:CR46256 antisense RNA:CR46256
AAGCUAGUAGACAGAGCAAGCCUUGAAAGAUUGUAAAUACAAGGCAAAGGCUUUUGGAAUUUUAGAUAAGUUCAAUGUACAUCAAACUGAUGAUGUUUAAUAAUAUAUGAUCUCAACUAAGAUCUCUACCACUUAUCGUUACUUAUCGUUUACUUUUCUGCCCGCAAUGUUCUAAUUAAGAAUCGACCCACUCUAGUGCACAGCAACCUUACCCAUGCCAUCUUUCUGUAUGGGGAUCACCGAAGGGUCAAUGUUGCCCCUGUAGGCGAUGGGUGUCUUCAGCACCAGUCCUGGCCUGUUAACGGGCUCGAUCUUGCGCGUCUUGCGCUGUGAUCGCAAUGCGGAGGACGUGGAGGCACUGCAGGUGGCGGUGGUUGCGGUGGAAUUGGCUCCCUUGGCCGUACUAUAGGUGCGCUGCAUUUGCUUGCUGGAUGUGUUUUCAGUGCUGACCAUUAUGUUGCCAAAGGCAUUGCCAUUUAGCGUACCCAUCGCAGGGACCAGAGUUGUGCCCAGCAGCUUGUGGUGCAGCAGGCCAUCGGGCAGUGGAACCAAAAGAUCGUGCUCGACUCCAGGGACGCCCAAGCUUCCGGGCAUCUGUGCCAUGCAGGAGGAGGAGGACUGCGAAAUGUCCUUAUCGGAGGAGGUCAUAAAGUCGGUGCCAUCGUACGAAUUAUUGUCCUCGUUCAUCAUCACAAAGUCGUCGAUGUUGAUAAUCUCUUGCUUGGGCUCCAACUCGGAUCCAUUAUCAUCAAAGUUAUUGUCCCUCUGACCGUACACUUGGUCGUCAUCGUCCACGACCGCCUCCAUGGCCAUGCCAACCAUGCCGUUCUCCACAUCGUUAUCCAUUGCCUCCGCAUAGUUCUGGAAGACUGCCGCCGCCGCCGACUGCUGGAGCAGUUGCUGCUGCAGGCCGCCCAUGUGGGCAAAUCCGUACAGGUUGUUCGAGUUGGUGGCAAUCAGGGUGCCCGGCUGUACACCCAGUGCCGCAGCAGUCGCCGCCGCUUGACCAGUGAAAUCUCCCCCCAUUAGGCUCAUCAUCGGAUUCAUGUCCUUUUUUUGAGCAUUGUGGGUUUUGGAGAUUGGAGGUGGUUCGGGUUGAGGAUCGACCAUUGGUUAUGUGUGUUUUUGUGUCGAGAUUU